rnacentral:rRNA from 1 species
CCUACGGGCGGCAGCAGUGAGGAAUAUUGGUCAAUGGACGAGAGUCUGAACCAGCCAAGUAGCGUGAAGGAUGACUGCCCUAUGGGUUGUAAACUUCUUUUAUAAGGGAAUAAAAUGUUCCACGUGUGGGAUUUUGUAUGUACCAUAUGAAUAAGGAUCGGCUAACUCCGUGCCAGCAGCCGCGGUAAUACGGAGGAUCCGAGCGUUAUCCGGAUUUAUUGGGUUUAAAGGGAGCGUAGGUGGAUUGUUAAGUCAGUUGUGAAAGUUUGCGGCUCAACCGUAAAAUUGCAGUUGACACUGGCAGUCUUGAGUACAGUAGAGGUGGGCGGAAUUCGUGGUGUAGCGGUGAAAUGCUUAGAUAUCACGAAGAACUCCGAUUGCGAAGGCAGCUCACUGGACUGCAACUGACACUGAGGCUCGAAAGCGUGGGGAGCAAACAGGAUUAGAUACCCCUGUAGUC